AGCAGACCCAGGCAACUAUUGACGCCACCCUAUCAUCAUCAACAGAGAAGGACUUUGUCCAUGGCUGCACUAUUAAAUAAUGCCCAUAAAUAACCCAAUGGCCCCUGAUGAGGAUGUGUGCGUAGUCCGCUGGAUUGCUGAAUUUAGCGAGGUAGAAGUUGUGCUCUAAAUCCACAAGCUGAAAUGUGCCAGUAGGCUACCAAAGACUCUAGAGACAACCAAACAGGGGAUGGUAUCCAAUUGCCCUCGCCAGUAAUCUUAUAACCAUCGAGUCCUUCAUAGAUUGAACGAGGAAGCUAUGUACCCUUUUAUGCUAAUUCAUCUCUUAUUUGUAGGUAGAAAAAUCUCGCACUCUUCUUAUGUUGACCCUCCCUUUUUCUUUUCAGUCGCCCUCUUUUCUCUUCAACUCUUUU
rnacentral:lncRNA from 1 species